rnacentral:tRNA from 1 species
GCUUUCGUGGCGUAGUGGUCAGCACACUCGACGAGUAUUCGAGAGAUCCCUGGUUCGAAUCCCGGCGAGAGUA